rnacentral:rRNA from 1 species
AUUGAACGCUGGCGGAAUGCUUUACACAUGCAAGUCGAGCGGCAGCGCGGGGCAACCUGGCGGCGAGCGGCGAACGGGUGAGUAAUGCAUCGGAACAUGUCCAUGUCGUGGGGGAUAGCCCGGCGAAAGCCGGAUUAAUACCGCAUACGCUCGAGAGAGGAAAGCCGGGGACCGCGAAGCCUGGCGCGAUUGGGUUGGCCGAUGUCCGAUUAGCUAGUUGGUGAGGUAAAGGCUUACCAAGGCGAUGAUCGGUAGCUGGUCUGAGAGGAUGAUCAGCCACACUGGGACUGAGACACGGCCCAGACUCCUACGGGAGGCAGCAGUGGGGAAUUUUGGACAAUGGGGGCAACCCUGAUCCAGCCAUUCCGCGUGAGUGAAGAAGGCCUUCGGGUUGUAAAGCUCUUUUGUCCGGAGCGAAACGGUUGUGGUGAAUAUCCACGACUACUGACGGUACCGGAAGAAUAAGCACCGGCUAACUACGUGCCAGCAGCCGCCGUAAUAC